rnacentral:rRNA from 1 species
CCUACGGGAGGCAGCAGUGAGGAAUAUUGGUCAAUGGACGAGAGUCUGAACCAGCCAAGUAGCGUGAAGGAUGACUGCCCCAUUGGUUGUAAACUUCUUUUAUAUGGGAAUAAAACGUUCCACGUGUGGGUUUUUGUAUGUACCAUAUGAAUAAGGAUCGGCUAACUCCGUGCCAGCAGCCGCGGUAAUACGGAGGAUCCGAGCGUUAUCCGGAUUUAUUGGGUUUAAAGGGUGCGUAGGUGGAUUGUUAAGUCAGUUGUGAAAGUUUGGGGCUCAACCGUAAAAUUGCAGUUGAAACUGGCAGUCUUGAGUACAGUAGAGGUAGGCGGAAUUCGUGGUGUAGCGGUGAAAUGCUUAGAUAUCGCGAAGAACUCCGAUUGCGAAGGCAGCUCACUGGACUGCAACUGACACUGAGGCUCGAAAGUGUGGGUAUCAAACAGGAUUAGAUACCCUAGUAGUC